GAUGAACGCUGGCGGCGUGCCUAAUACAUGCAAGUCGAGCGAACGGACGAGAAGCUUGCUUCUCUGAUGUUAGCGGCGGACGGGUGAGUAACACGUGGAUAACCUACCUAUAAGACUGGGAUAACUUCGGGAAACCGGAGCUAAUACCGGAUAAUAUUUUGAACCGCAUGGUUCAAAAGUGAAAGACGGUCUUGCUGUCCCUUAUAGAUGGAUCCGCGCUGCAUUAGCUAGUUGGUAAGGUAACGGCUUACCAAGGCAACGAUGCAUAGCCGACCUGAGAGGGUGAUCGGCCACACUGGAACUGAGACACGGUCCAGACUCCUACGGGAGGCAGCAGUAGGGAAUCUUCCGCAAUGGGCGAAAGCCUGACGGAGCAACGCCGCGUGAGUGAUGAAGGUCUUCGGAUCGUAAAACUCUGUUAUUAGGGAAGAACAUAUGUGUAAGUAACUAUGCACAUCUUGACGGUACCUAAUCAGAAAGCCACGGCUAACUACGUG
rnacentral:rRNA from 1 species